rnacentral:rRNA from 1 species
GACGAACGCUGGCGGCGUGCCUAACACAUGCAAGUCGAGCGAGUGAAUCUCCUUCGGGAGUGAAGCUAGCGGCGGACGGGUGAGUAACACGUGGGCAACCUGCCUCAUAGAGGGGAAUAGCCCUUCGAAAGGAAGAUUAAUACCGCAUAAGAUUGUAGCUUCGCAUGAAGUAGCAAUUAAAGGAGCAAUCCGCUAUGAGAUGGGCCCGCGGCGCAUUAGCUAGUUGGUGAGGUAACGGCUCACCAAGGCGACGAUGCGUAGCCGACCUGAGAGGGUGAUCGGCCACAUUGGGACUGAGACACGGCCCAGACCCCUACGGGAGGCAGCAGUGGGGAAUAUUGCACAAUGGGGGAAACCCUGAUGCAGCAACGCCGCGUGAGUGAUGACGGCCUUCGGGUUGUAAAGCUCUGUCUUCAGGGACGAUAAUGACGGUACCUGAGGAGGAAGCCACGGCUAACUACGUGCCAGCAGCCGCAGUAA